UCCACGUGGUGGGAGUAGGGCUUUGGACCAGUGAUCAUUAACCACCUCUGGGUUAAACCAGCCCAAGGUGAUUGCAAUUCACACUACAAGAGGCCCCUCUUCUGUGGUUGAAAUGGAAAUCAAGUUUGAAAUGUCAAGCAGUUGUCUGAGGCAUAGCAGUCAGAGAAAUUGAACUGUCAGAAACUAACACAAGAAUAAUAAGAGGAUAUUUCUUCUUCAUUGGACACCAGAGAUGAAUAGCAGGCAGUGAAAUGUACUCUGAACACAGUGAGCAUGCUUCAUCUGUCAAAUUUAGUUACACUUUAUUGCAUCUCUCAUUAGCUGAGAUCAUGGGGAAAAACAUUUCUCAUGCUGUUGGACUGCCAACUCAUAUUUGGACAACAGUUAAGCUCUUAAGCAAUGAAGCAUCUGCCUAAGAUUCUAUUGCCUCAAACUCCAAAACAACCCAAGGAAGUGUUUGGCCAGGAAAUGGCCUUAGAUCUGCCUGCACUAUUGAAGAAGGGCAACCAGCAAGUACUCUUCUCUUCCAGGAGGAAAGGAGGUGUCUCAUGGACUGUUCAUCUUGCCACCAGCAGAGAAAGAUCUGUGCCAUUUAUAUAAACA
rnacentral:lncRNA from 1 species